rnacentral:tRNA from 1 species
GACCACGUAGCUCAGUUGGACGAGCAUUGGGCUAGAAUUCCAAAGGUCGUAGGUUCGAAUCCCACCGUGGCCG